UACAGAGGGUGCAAGCGUUAAUCGGAAUUACUGGGCGUAAAGGGUGCGUAGGUGGACGCACAAGUCGGAUGUGAAAUCCCUGGGCUUAACCUAGGAACUGCAUUCGAAACUGUGAGUCUAGAGUAUGGUAGAGGUAAGUGGAAUUUCCGGUGUAGCGGUGAAAUGCGUAGAUAUCGGAAGGAACAUCAGUGGCGAAGGCGACUUACUGGACUGAUACCGACACUGAGGCACGAAAGCGUGGGGAGCAAACAGG
rnacentral:rRNA from 1 species